rnacentral:rRNA from 1 species
AUGAACGCUAGCGACAGGCCUAACACAUGCAAGUCGAGGGGCAGCACAAGGAGCAAUCUGAGGUGGCGACCGGCGCACGGGUGAGUAACACGUAUGCAACCUGCCUGUAAGCGGGGAAUAACCCGUUGAAAGACGGACUAAUACCGCAUAAUACUAAAUUACUGCAUGGUAAUUUAUUUAAACAUUUAUGGCUUACAGAUGGGCAUGCGCAUGAUUAGCUAGUUGGAGAGGUAACGGCUCCCCAAGGCAACGAUCAUUAGGGGUUCUGAGAGGAAGGUCCCCCCACACUGGUACUGAGACACGGACCAGACUCCUACGGGAGGCAGCAGUGAGGAAUAUUGGUCAAUGGACGAGAGUCUGAACCAGCCAAGUCGCGUGCAGGAAGAAUUGUCCUAUGGAUUGUAAACUGCUUUUGCAGGGGAAUAAAGUGCAUCACGUGUGAUGUUUUGUAUGUACUCUGCGAAUAAGGAUCGGCUAACUCCGUGCCAGCCGCAGC